GACGAACGCUGGCGGCGUGCUUAACACAUGCAAGUCGAGCGGAGCGGCGAACGGGUGAGGAACGCGUGAGUAACUGCCCCCCUCUCUGGGAUAACAGUUGGAAACGGCUGCUAAUACCGGAUAGUGGGGGAUGGCUCGCGGCCUAUCAGCUUGUUGGUGGGGUGAUGGCCUACCACGGCGGUGACGGGUAGCCGGCGUGAGAGGGUGACCGGCCACCUGGGGCUGGGAUACGGCCCAGACUGCGACGGGAGGGAGCAGUGGGGGAGAUUGGACAAUGGGCGAAAGCCUGAUGCAGGGACGCCGGGUGGGGGAUGAAGGCUUUCGGGUUGUAAACCUCUUUCGGGAUCGAACGGGUAGGUGGAGAAGAAGCGCCGGCUAACUACGUGCCAGCAGCCGCGGUAAUAC
rnacentral:rRNA from 1 species